AUUGAACGCUGGCGGCAUGCCUUACACAUGCAAGUCGAACGGCAGCACGGGUGCUUGCCCCUGGUGGCGAGUGGCGAACGGGUGAGUAAUACAUCGGAACAUGUCCUGUAGUGGGGGAUAGCCCGGCGAAAGCCGGAUUAAUACCGCAUACGAUCUACGGAUGAAAGCGGGGGACCUUCGGGCCUCGCGCUAUAGGGUUGGCCGAUGGCUGAUUAGCUAGUUGGUGGGGUAAAGGCCUACCAAGGCGACGAUCAGUAGCUGGUCUGAGAGGACGACCAGCCACACUGGGACUGAGACACGGCCCAGACUCCUACGGGAGGCAGCAGUGGGGAAUUUUGGCCCCUGGGCGCCCGCCUGCUCCCGCCCUGCCGCGUGUGUGACGAAGGCCUUCGGGUUGUAAAGCACUUUUGUCCGGAAAGAAAUCCUUGGCCCUAAUACGGUCGGGGGAUGACGGUCCCGGAAGAAUAAGCACCGGCUCACUACGUG
rnacentral:rRNA from 1 species